rnacentral:rRNA from 1 species
UUCCAGGUAAAUCCGGUUCACUUUAACACUGAGGCGUGAUGACGAGGCACCACGGUGCUGAAGCAACAAAUGCCCUGCUUCCAGGAAAAGCCUCUAAGCCUCAGGUAACAUCAAAUCGUACCCCAAACCGACACAGGUGGUCAGGUAGAGAAUACCAAGGCGCUUGAGAGAACUCGGGUGAAGGAACUAGGCAAAAUGGUGCCGUAACUUCGGGAGAAGGCACGCUGACACGUAGGUGAAGUGGUUUACCCAUGGAGCUGAAGUCAGUCGAAGAUACCAGCUGGCUGCAACUGUUUAUUAAAAACACAGCACUGUGCAAACACGAAAGUGGACGUAUACGGUGUGACGCCUGCCCGGUGCCGGAAGGUUAAUUGAUGGGGUCAGCGCAAGCGAAGCUCCUGAUCGAAGCCCCGGUAAACGGCGGCCGUAACUAUAACGGUCCUAAGGUAGCGAAAUUCCUUGUCGGGUAAGUUCCGACCUGCACGAAUGGCGUAAUGAUGGCCAGGCUGUCUCCACCCGGGACUCAGUGAAAUUGAACUCGCUGUGAAGAUGCAGUGUACCCGCGGCAAGACGGAAAGACCCCGUGAACCUUUACUAUAGCUUGACACUGAACACUGGUCCUUGAUGUGCAGGAUAGGUGGGAGGCUUUGAAGUGUGGACGCCAGUCUGCAUGGAGCCAUCCUUGAAAUACCACCCUUUAAUGGCUGGUGUUCUAACGUGGGCCCGUGAACCGGGUUGCGGACAGUGUCUGGUGGGUAGUUUGACUGGGGCGGUCUCCUCCUAAAGAGUAACGGAGGAGCACGAAGGUUGGCUAAUCCUGGUCGGACAUCAGGAGGUUAGUGCAAUGGCAUAAGCCAGCUUGACUGCGAGCGUGACGGCGCGAGCAGGUGCGAAAGCAGGUCAUAGUGAUCCGGUGGUUCUGAAUGGAAGGGCCAUCGCUCAACGGAUAAAAGGUACUCCGGGGAUAACAGGCUGAUACCGCCCAAGAGUUCAUAUCGACGGCGGUGUUUGGCACCUCGAUGUCGGCUCAUCACAUCCUGGGGCUGAAGUAGGUCCCAAGGGUAUGGCUGUUCGCCAUUUAAAGUGGUACGCGAGCUGGGUUUAGAACGUCGUGAGACAGUUCGGUCCCUAUCUGCCGUGGGCGCUGGAAGAUUGAGGGGGGCUGCUCCUAGUACGAGAGGACCGGAGUGGACGCAUCACUGGUGUUCGGGUUGUCAUGCCAAUGGCACUGCCCGGUAGCUACAUGCGGAAGAGAUAAGUGCUGAAAGCAUCUAAGCACGAAACUUGCCCCGAGAUGAAUCUUCCCUGAGCCUUUAAGGCUCCUGAAGGAACGUUGAAGACGACGACGUUGAUAGGCCGGGUGUGUAAGCGCAGCGAUGCGUUGAGCUAACCGGUACUAAUGAACCGUGAGGCUUAACCUUACA